rnacentral:rRNA from 1 species
UACGUAGGGUCCGAGCGUUGUCCGGAAUUACUGGGCGUAAAGAGCUCGUAGGUGGUUUGUCGCGUUGUUCGUGAAAACUCACAGCUCAACUGUGGGCGUGCGGGCGAUACGGGCAGACUAGAGUACUGCAGGGGAGACUGGAAUUCCUGGUGUAGCGGUGGAAUGCGCAGAUAUCAGGAGGAACACCGGUGGCGAAGGCGGGUCUCUGGGCCGUAACUGACGCUGAGGAGCGAAAGCAUGGGGAGCAAACAGG